rnacentral:misc_RNA from 1 species
ACACAAUACGACACACACACAAAACAGAUUAGUGAAAGUUCAACCGUUCAUCAAAUCACAAGUACCGACGACGGAUCGGUAGCGGGCGUUUUUUGACUGUCGGGGACGGCCGGGCCGGGGAUCUAGCGCGCAGAGCGGGCGGGGCCAAGCACAAAAUUCGGUCACCAACACGGCAACAAGGAACCAGAACUCAGACAAAAGAUCAAAAGGAUGCCUGAUAUUCCGAUGCCACUGUGAAAAUGGCUGCCAUUUUGAAACAGUGUCGGCUGUUGCACAUUGGUCAGUUUCGCCAAAGCAUACGCCAACUGCACCUCAACUCAAGAAAACUUGUUUGGGCAUCCAACAAGACACUUAGGAACUAUACGCCAUGCUGUACCAGGACAUCACAUCCGUUAAAAGUAGCUGUGACACAGUACCAGCCAGUGAGAACAUUCCUGUCUGCACUGUCAGCCACUGGUUUCAAUGAUUACGAACUUGGUAGGCGUCAGUUUCAGCUGGACGUUCCUGAGCACUUCAACUUUGCCAGUGAUGUUCUGGACGAGUGGGCGCAAAAAGAACAGGCAGGCACAAGGGGCUCCAAGACCCCUGCCCUAUGGUGGAUUGACGACCAUGGAAGUGAGAUCAAGUGGAGUUUUACGGAUCUCCAGGACAAAUCAAAGAAAGUGGCCAACAUACUUACCAACGAUUGUGGCUUAUCGAGGGAUGAGUCUGUGACGGUCAUACUGCACAGAAUUCCCGAAUGGUGGCUUGUCAACAUUGCCUGCUUACGCACAGGUACCAUACUAAUCCCAGGUACUACACAGUUAACAGCACGGGACAUCAGGUACCGUCUACAAAGCUCGGAAACCGCUUGUAUCAUCACAGAUGAGCACACUGCUCCUCUUGUAGAUGAGUACAUAUCUGAGUGCCCCAGUGUGAAAUCUAAACUGCUCAUAAGCAGCAGUGGUGAAUCUAGACCAGGAUGGCUGGAUUAUCACGAACUGUACGAAAAAGCCGACAGUCAACACAAGUGUGUCAAGACUCGAAGUGAUGAGUCAAUGACAAUGUUCUUCACCAGUGGAACUACUGGCAAGGCGAAGCUGGCUGUACACACACAUGCUAGCUAUGGUCUCGGUCACUUCAUCACAGGAAAAUACUGGUUGGAUCUGACUCCAACUGACAUCCAUUGGAAUAUGUCCGACACCGGCUGGGCCAAGUCAGCCUACAGUAACUUCUUUGGUCCGUGGGCCCAGGGGGCGUGUGUCUUCAUAAGCUACACGGCGAGGUUUGAUCCUGUCCACACACUGGAGCUGCUUCAUAAGUACCCAGUCAGCACGCUCUGCGCUCCUCCCACAGCAUACCGCAUGAUGGUGCUUGAAGAUCUGAGCAAGUAUAACCUCAAGUCAAUCCGGCAUACCGUCAGCGCUGGGGAACCCCUGAACCCAGAAGUGAUGGAAUCUUGGAAAGCAGGCACAGGCUCCAUGAUCCAUGAGGGAUAUGGACAGACAGAAACAGUGCUACUGACAGGCAUGUUCAGGUGUCUGGAGCCAAGAUCAGGGUCCAUGGGUAAGGCAGCCCCUGGGUUUGAUAUCAGUAUUGUGGAUGAAGACGGCAACGAACUCCCUCACGGACAGGAGGGGGACAUUGGGGUGAGAGUCAAGCCCCACCGUCCCGUUGGACUCUUCUCUCAUUAUGUGAAUGAUCCAGAGAGGACAGCCAGGGCAUACCGUGGGGAUUUCUACCUCACAGGAGACCGAGCAGUCGCGGACGAUGACGGUUACCUGUGGUUUGUUGGACGCGGUGAUGACAUCAUCAACACAUCAGGGUUGUCAAGGCCUUCAUUGUACUGACUGCAGACUACAAGUCUGAAGACAAAGAGCAGCUGACGCAGGAAAUACAGAACCACGUGAAGAGCAUCACGGCGCCUUAUAAAUACCCUCGCAAGAUUGAAUUCAUGGAGUCUCUUCCCAAGACAGUAAGCGGUAAAAUCCGACGGGUGGAACUCCGGAACCAGGAAUGGAAUCAAAAAGUUGGAUGAAUUGCUGGAUUGCACUGAUUAUUCGCUCUUCACUAAUUGCCUUCCUCAACUGUAUUCAUUUAAAAUAUAUAUAUUUUUAAUUUUCUGACUGGGGAUAGAUAGUGAUAAAGGUUCUAAAUCAAUCAUUUUCCAGCUCUAUGGUAGCUUUUUUUUUUAAUAAAUAAAUUUUUAAUCACAAAUAUAUUCAGCUUUCAAGUGAAUCAUGUAGUUGUAGUAUUAUCGUGAAAUUUGAUUUACACAUGUAUUCUUGCUUACAAAUCAUGUACCAGAAAUUGAAAUUUUUUUUUUAAUCUUCUUUUCUGUACAAAUCUUUCAAUUAAGACCAUAUUAAAAGACACUUAAUUUCCAUAUACCUUUGUAAACACAACUGAAAAAAUAAAGGUUAUAAAAAUGAUAGACACCCAUGGUAAUAGUCAUUUCCUAUCUGUUCAUGCAAUAUACCUUUUUUUCAGUUAAAUAUUUUAGGUGGAGGUAUAUUUAACUACAAUCAGCACUUUUCAGUAUCGGCUUUCCUGGCUAUUUGAAAAGAUUUUUUGUUCAAAUACACCAACUCCAACAUUCAAUUUUGUCCACGAAAAAUUUCACAUUUAGUCAUUAACCAUUAAAUUUUAAAGUUUGAUCAUCCUCUUUAGUCACUGGGUCGAGAAUAUUCGUCAUUACAGAUCAAAUUCCUCUAAGCUGUUGUCAAAUGGCAUCAUUCUGAGAUCGAAUUUAUAAAUCAGUUAGACGAAUUUGAUUUCUGAAUAACAAGGUUUGGCGUACACGAGACGAAAUGGAAUACUCUGGGACAAAAAUGUGUGCCCGUUGUUUCAAUUUGCUUGAAUUGAAUUUGAAAUUGUCCGCCAAAAGAUAAAAUUAAACAUUGGAAGUGCACUAAAUCGAUGUUGCUGGACGAAUUUGAAUAUACAGUGUAGAAACAGUGAAUAUGAAUGAUAAAUGUUUUAAAGUAGCCGGGAAAAUGUAUAUUAACUUUUCAAAUUUCCACAUCAGCACUUUUUUUUUUUAAUACUUUUUUAAAUUGCGUAAUUUCUGUAUUGAUCUGAAGAUUAAACAAUGUUAUUUUUAAUGUACAGUCAAAUUUUGUAACAUGCAAAGAAACCUUGAUUUUUAGUAAAUUUUUACUGAUGCUUUUACAUCAGGAUGAUUCCAGCCUGAAAUGUUCGUAAUGUUUUGAUCAUAAUUUUUUAUACUGCUUAAAUUUAUUCUAAUCAUUUUGGGAUAUUAAAUAAAGAUGCCACAAUAUGCAUCUUAUUUUAAAUAAGAA